GAUGAACGCUAGCGAUAGGCUUAACACACGCAAGUCGAGGGGCAGCACAAGGUAGCUUGCUAUCUGGGUGGCGACCGGCGCACGGGUGCGUAACGCGUAUGCAACUUGCCCUAUACAGGAGGAUAACCCGUCGAAAGACGGACUAAUACUGCGUAUGCUCACAACUUGGCAUCAAGUGGUGAGGAAAGAAAUUCGGUAUAGGAUAGGCAUGCGUCCCAUUAGCUUGUUGGUGAGGUAACGGCUCACCAAGGCAACGAUGGGUAGGGGAACUGAGAGGUUUAUCCCCCACACGGGUACUGAGACACGGACCAGACUCCUACGGGAGGCAGCAGUGAGGAAUAUUGGUCAAUGGGCGCGAGCCUGAACCAGCCAAGUCGCGUGAAGGAUGACUGUCUUAUGGAUUGUAAACUUCUUUUAUACGGGAAUAACAAGAGUCACGUGUGACUCCCUGCAUGUACCGUAUGAAUAAGCAUCGGCUAACUCCGUG
rnacentral:rRNA from 1 species